rnacentral:rRNA from 1 species
GCAGUAGAACGCUGAAGAGAGGAGCUUGCUCUUCUUGGAUGAGUUGCGAACGGGUGAGUAACGCGUAGGUAACCUGCCUUGUAGCGGGGGAUAACUAUUGGAAACGAUAGCUAAUACCGCAUAACAAUGGAUGACACAUGUCAUUUAUUUGAAAGGGGCAAUUGCUCCACUACAAGAUGGACCUGCGUUGUAUUAGCUAGUAGGUGAGGUAACGGCUCACCUAGGCGACGAUACAUAGCCGACCUGAGAGGGUGAUCGGCCACACUGGGACUGAGACACGGCCCAGACUCCUACGGGAGGCAGCAGUAGGGAAUCUUCGGCAAUGGGGGCAACCCUGACCGAGCAACGCCGCGUGAGUGAAGAAGGUUUUCGGAUCGUAAAGCUCUGUUGUAAGUCAAGAACGAGUGUGAGAGUGGAAAGUUCACACUGUGACGGUAGCUUACCAGAAAGGGACGGCUAACUACGUGCCAGCAGCCGCGGUAAUACGUAGGUCCCGAGCGUUGUCCGGAUUUAUUGGGCGUAAAGCGAGCGCAGGCGGUUUGAUAAGUCUGAAGUUAAAGGCUGUGGCUCAACCAUAGUUCGCUUUGGAAACUGUCAAACUUGAGUGCAGAAGGGGAGAGUGGAAUUCCAUGUGUAGCGGUGAAAUGCGUAGAUAUAUGGAGGAACACCGGUGGCGAAAGCGGCUCUCUGGUCUGUAACUGACGCUGAGGCUCGAAAGCGUGGGGAGCGAACAGGAUUAGAUACCCUGGUAGUCCACGCCGUAAACGAUGAGUGCUAGGUGUUGGAUCCUUUCCGGGAUUCAGUGCCGCAGCUAACGCAUUAAGCACUCCGCCUGGGGAGUACGACCGCAAGGUUGAAACUCAAAGGAAUUGACGGGGGCCCGCACAAGCGGUGGAGCAUGUGGUUUAAUUCGAAGCAACGCGAAGAACCUUACCAGGUCUUGACAUCCCGAUGCUAUUUCUAGAGAUAGAAAGUUACUUCGGUACAUCGGUGACAGGUGGUGCAUGGUUGUCGUCAGCUCGUGUCGUGAGAUGUUGGGUUAAGUCCCGCAACGAGCGCAACCCCUAUUGUUAGUUGCCAUCAUUCAGUUGGGCACUCUAGCGAGACUGCCGGUAAUAAACCGGAGGAAGGUGGGGAUGACGUCAAAUCAUCAUGCCCCUUAUGACCUGGGCUACACACGUGCUACAAUGGUUGGUACAACGAGUUGCGAGUCGGUGACGGCAAGCUAAUCUCUUAAAGCCAAUCUCAGUUCGGAUUGUAGGCUGCAACUCGCCUACAUGAAGUCGGAAUCGCUAGUAAUCGCGGAUCAGCACGCCGCGGUGAAUACGUUCCCGGGCCUUGUACACACCGCCCGUCACACCACGAGAGUUUGUAACACCCGAAGUCGGUGAGGUAACCUUUGGAGCCAGCCG